UACGGAGGGUGCGAGCGUUAUCCGGAAUUACUGGGUUUAAAGGGUGCGUAGGCGGCUAUGUAAGUCAGGAGUGAAAGUUUGCGGCUCAACCGUAAAAUUGCUUUUGAUACUGCAUGGCUGGAAUUAGGAUGAGGUCAGCGGAAUGUGGCAUGUAGCGGUGAAAUGCAUAGAUAUGACACAGAACACCGAUUGCGAAGGCAGCUUACUAAGUCGUAACUGACGCUGAUGCACGAAAGCGUGGGGAGCAAACAGG
rnacentral:rRNA from 1 species